CUAACUGAAGAUAUCAGAUUAGAAGACUGAAACUAACUCGUUUAAAAUUCUUAUAUAUGCAUAAAGCCAUUCUGAGUGUUUUGGGCUGUACAAUACGAUUAUAUCAGGGCAGGAAAACCCCUCGUUGAAUAUCUGGCUUAUUCUUCUUUUGGCCUUGAUCGUUCUCCCAAAAAUCUUCUUUUAACAAUGCAAUUGAGGAAGCGGAGGCACACCAAAAGUGGUUAAAUGUGGUCUGGCUUGCCAGUGCACGGGCUGUGAUGGACUUCCUCUGCAAAGUAUUUCAUUUUGGACACAGUCCCUUUCUAAACACAGCGCACCUGGGACAACAGCUUUGGUUCCAGACCCAGUGUUAAUCAGCAGCAAUGCAUGCCUGCCAGCGGCUCGUAUAUACAAUUAAUAUUGUGCCCUGACUUUUAACAGCCGAUAUUGCGGCUCUUAUGAAAACAGAAUACCGCAGAGUGCCACGACUCCAGCGUUUAGCCGAAGCAGUAUGACAAAAUUUUUACAGAAAUCUUCCUGAUUGCUGAAAGGAUCUCAAAGAAUUUGCAGGGAAAGUGGCAAAGAAAAAUAUUUAAGCAGCCCUAAUGCAUUCUUUCAUGAGCUGUGGUGUGUCCAUUGCCUGGGCAAUAAGACAAAACAUACCCUACAGAAUCUGACGGUUGUCUCUUUGGGAAGACAAGUCAUUUUCACAUGAAGGUAUCCAUGACUAGGCCGUCUUAGUGUUUGACAUUCCAGUAUUGAUUCCACUCUGAGGGUGUGGAGGGGAUUUCCGCCGUAAUCUCCAGUGAAAGAGGUGCGUGCCGUGCGCUAGAAACACACUCACAAGCUAAUUCGAGGCAAAGUAAAGCUCUCAUCUGGGAUUGGUAAGAGUCUCUCCAAGCACCCCAAAGACUUCCAGCUCAUUCUUGAUUGCACAUGGCAGCCUCUGACCUGUACCGAAGGCACCCGCUGCCAUGGAAGAUUGAUGAUUAUCGAUGCAGAAACCCUUUGCUAAUUCAGCGUACAAGGAACCACCUUCUUGGGGGGAUACCCAGCCAUGUUGAAGUGGGAGUUGAAUUAUACACAAAAGUUCUUUUAAGUCAGUGAUCAAUCAGAGUCUCUAGCUGCAACUGCACAUUAUCAAGCGCCAGGUCCUCAGUAUCAUGCCACGCUCGGAGAACUUACAGAGAAUGAUGGGACUGAUCAGACAUAGUGUUGGGAGGCCUUGACCUUUCAAAAGGAAGUUGCGCUUGAUCCAAGUGUUUUCCAGCACCUGCAAAAUGUCAACCUGUUUAGAUUCGAAGCAGAGACACUGAUAGGACCAUCUGGACCUUCACUCAUGACAUCCAGCCACAGUCCGUGUUCACGGCAAGCCCACUCAGAAAAUGGAUCAGCCAAGACCUCAUUUGUUACUUUGUGACUAGCACAAGGUGAAAGAUCCACUCAAAAAAGAAGAAAAAGAAAAGGCAAUUGCUAUCAGGCUUAAUCUUCAGUUGACUGUCUAAAAAACAUUAACACAUUCUUGACUCCUACUCUCAUGUGGUAAAACGCCUUCAGUAAAAGGUUUUUUUUUAUUUUUAUCAAUUGCAUUUCAUUC